UACGUAGGGCGCGAGCGUUGUCCGGAAUUAUUGGGCGUAAAGAGCUCGUAGGCGGCCUGUUGCGUCCGCUGUGAAAUCCCGGGGCUUAACCCCGGGCGUGCAGUGGAUACGGGCUGGCUAGAGUCCGGAAGAGGAGAGUGGAAGUUCCUGGUGUAGCGGUGAAAUGCGCAGAUAUCAGGAAGAACACCCGUGGCUAAGGCGGCUCUCUAGUACGGUACUGACGCUGAGACGCGAAAGCGUGGGGAGCGAACAGG
rnacentral:rRNA from 1 species